rnacentral:rRNA from 1 species
GAUGAACGCUAGCGGCAGGCUUAAUACAUGCAAGUCGUGGGGCAGCAUGGUGUAGCAAUACACUGAUGGCGACCGGCAAACGGGUGCGGAACACGUACGCAACCUUCCUUUAACUGGAGAAUAGCCCGGGGAAACCCGGAUUAAUACUCCGUAACAUUAUGAAGUGGCAUCACUUUAUAAUUAUAGCUCCGGCGGUUAGAGAUGGGCGUGCGCCUGAUUAGGUAGUUGGCGGGGUAACGGCCCACCAAGCCUACGAUCAGUAACUGGUGUGAGAGCACGACCAGUCACACGGGCACUGAGACACGGGCCCGACUCCUACGGGAGGCAGCAGUAAGGAAUAUUGGUCAAUGGACGCAAGUCUGAACCAGCCACGCCGCGUGGAGGAUGAAGGUCCUCUGGAUUGUAAACUUCUUUUAUUUGGGAAGAAACCCCCGAUUUCUAUUGGGGUUGACGGUACCAGAUGAAUAAGCACCGGCUAACUCCGUGCCAGCAGCCGCGGUAAUACGGAGGGUGCAAGCGUUAUCCGGAUUCACUGGGUUUAAAGGGUGCGUAGGCGGGUUGGUAAGUCCGUGGUGAAAUCUCCAAGCUUAACUUGGAAACUGCCGUGGAUACUAUCA